AAAUGACGUCCAAUGUCUUCAUUCGUUCAAGAGAAACUGCUACUAACGUACGACUUUGUCUAUUAGAUUAUUAUGUACAGUUAAAAAUAUUUGUUUUCCAGUCAUAAAAGCGUUUUCGCAAGGAUCGGAUGGUUAAACUUCCGGAAAAUAUUUCCAUAAGGUACAUAGGCCCACUAAUGAUGCAUAUACGAAUUCAGUAAGCCUAACCAAAUUAAGUCCGCUUCUGGUACAUAUACAGUCAAACUUGAAUACGUGGAACUCAUGUAGAAAAAAAUUUCAGCAGCAUGAGAAAUUAAUGGAUUUGGUCACAAGAUGAUCGUUGUUAUCAAGAAGGACGCAGUAAAACCGAACCUCAAAUUUUCAAUAAUCAUCGUCUGGAACUGGAAGAGUAUGUCGUUUUUAUGUAUACAAUAUAUUUCCAUCACCGGGCUUAAUCUCCGGAGAUUUUUAUGCAAUUUCUUGCAAACAACAUUACCUAAAUGUACUACCUAGAUUAUAUGUUUCUUCGCGAUUACUCAGAGUAAUUCUAUGGAUAGAGACCUACUUAGUUGUGAACAAAUUUGUUAUGGUCGGCACCUAGGUAUGUAUUGUUUAGGUAAAAAUAAUUACUUACUAAUGAUGACAAAAUAUGGUCAGUGAUAGGAGAGUAAGUAGCUUCGCCCUUUCUGAAAUUAUAUUUCAUUUCUAGAUUGAUAUUUUCAGACAAUAGAGAAAAAAUUAGGCAAAAUGUGAGCAGUUUGAUACUCCUUAGUUUCUUCUGUGGAUGUUUUGUCAGCGUUUUUU